rnacentral:rRNA from 1 species
CAUGACAGUCGCAACGCCCCGCAGGGGGAGUGGCAGACGGGUGAGUAACGCGUGGGAAUCUACCCUUUUCUACGGAACAACUGACUGGAAACUUCAGCUAAUACCGUAUACGGCCGAGAGGGGAAAGAUUUAUCAGAGAAGGAUGAGCCCGCGUUGGAUUAUCUAGUUGGUGGGGAAAGGCCUACCUAGCGACGAUCCAUACUGGUCUGAAAGAUGAUCAGCCAACUGGGACUGACAUCGGAUCCACACUCCUACGGGAGGCAGCCCUGGGGAAUAUUGGACAAUGGGCGCAAGCCUGAUCCAGCCAUGCCGCGCGAGUGAUGAAGGCCCUAGGGUUGUAAAGCUCUUUCGCCGGUGAAGAUAAUGACGGAAACCGGAGAAGAAGCCCCGGCUAACUUCCUGCCAGCAUCCGCGGUAAUACGAAGGGGGCUAGCUCUGUUCGGAUUUACUGGGUGUACAAGCGCACGUAGGAGAACUAUUAAGUCAGGGGUGAAAUCCCGGGGCUCAACCCCGGAGCUGCCUUUGAUACUGGUAGUCUUGAGUUCGAGAGAGGUGAGUGGAAUUCCGAGUGUUGAGGUGAAAUUCGUACGAUGUUCAGAGGCACACCUGUGGCGAAUGCGGCUCAGUGGGUCGAUACUGAAGCUGAGUUGCAAACCAUGUGGAGACAACAGGAUUAGAUAUCCUGGUAGUACACUCCUUACACUAUGAGAUCUAUGCGUCCGUCAGUAUACUGUUCGGUCGCACAGCUAACGCACUAGGCUCUUUGCCUCGGGAGUACGGUCCCACGAUUACUACUCAUAUCGAUUCGUCGGGC